rnacentral:rRNA from 1 species
UCCUACGGGAGGCAGCAGUGAGGAAUUUUGCGCAAUGGGAGCAAUCCUGACGCAGCAACGCCGCGUGGGUGAUGAAGGCCUUCGGGUCGUAAAGCCCUGUCAGGUGGGAAGAAUGUCCCGGGACUGAACAGGUUUCGGGAGUGACGGUACCACCAGAGGAAGCACCGGCUAACUCCGUGCCAGCAGCCGCGGUAAUAAUCUC